UAAGGAAUAUUGGUCAAUGGACGCAAGUCUGAACCAGCCAUGCCGCGUGGAGGAUGAAGGUCCUCUGGAUUGUAAACUUCUUUUAUCUGGGACGAAACACUUCUUUUCUAAGAGGCCUGACGGUACCAGAUGAAUAAGCACCGGCUAACUCCGUGCCAGCAGCCGCGGUAAUACGGAGGGUGCAAGCGUUAUCCGGAUUCACUGGGUUUAAUGGGUGCGUAGGUGGGUAUGUAAGUCAGUGGUGAAAUCCCCGAGCUUAACUUGGGAACUGCCAUUGAUACUAUAUAUCUUGAAUACCGUAGAGGUAAGCGGAAUAUGUCAUGUAGCGGUGAAAUGCUUAGAUAUGACAUAGAACAACAAUUGCGAAGGCAGCUUACUAUGCGGUGAUUGACACUGAGGCACAAAAGCGUGGGUAGCAAACA
rnacentral:rRNA from 1 species